rnacentral:rRNA from 1 species
CGACUUAUCUCAUUAACAAAUAAAACGAGAGCGACGGGCGAUGUGUACAUAUCUCAGAACCAAUUAUCACAAAAACAAUCUUCAAAAUAUUACAAUCAAAUCCAAUUUCAUGCCAGUAAUUAAAACCAACAAUCCAAACACAAAUAACAAUGUAACCCACCAAAACACUUAGAGAAAGCUGCACCUUGACCUGAAAUUAAACCAAAUAUAGGAACAAGAAAAUUAUAUGACCCUAAAAAGAUAAUCAAUAAACGGCGGUAUACAAACCAACAAACAACUAAGUAAGGUCCAACGUGGACUAUCGAUAACGAGACAGGUUCCUCUGAACGGAAUAAGAUACCGCCAAAUUCUUUAAGUUUCAAGAACAUAACUAAUACUACUCAGGCAAAACAUUAACAUCCAAAAAUAAUAGGGUAUCUAAUCCUAGUUU